rnacentral:rRNA from 1 species
GACGAACGCUGGCGGCGUGCUUAACACAUGCAAGUCGAACGCUGAAGCUCAGCUUUUGUUGGGUGGAUGAGUGGCGAACGGGUGAGUAACACGUGAGUAACCUGCCUCCUUCUUUGGGAUAACGCCCGGAAACGGGCGCUAAUACUGGAUAUUCACUGGUCUUCGCAUGGGGGUUGGUGGAAAGGGUUUUUCUGGUGGGGGAUGGGCUCGCGGCCUAUCAGCUUGUUGGUGGGGUGAUGGCCUACCAAGGCUUUGACGGGUAGCCGGCCUGAGAGGGUGACCGGUCACAUUGGGACUGAGAUACGGCCCAGACUCCUACGGGAGGCAGCAGUGGGGAAUAUUGCACAAUGGGCGCAAGCCUGAUGCAGCGACGCCGCGUGAGGGAUGGAGGCCUUCGGGUUGUGAACCUCUUUCGCUCAUGGUCAAGCCGCAACAAUGGUUGUGGUGAGGGUAGUGGGUAAAGAAGCGCCGGCUAACUACGU